rnacentral:rRNA from 2 species
CGACUCUCGGCAACGGAUAUCUAGGCUCUCGCAUCGAUGAAGAACGUAGCAAACUGCGAUACUUGGUGUGAAUUGCAGAAUCCCGUGAACCAUCGAGUCUUUGAACGCAAGUUGCGCCCGAAGUCACUAGGCCGAGGGCACGUCUGCCUGGGCGUCAC